AAUAAGGAAGUGAAUAUUUAGGGACACGAAAAACACAGCACAUAGCAUAUCCCACAAGCUUAUGAUUCUUAUACGUCUUUGGAGGUGUGCUUAUUGUUAUUGAAGAACCCUCAUUAUUCUGAUACUCGAACCACUCUGGGAUUUCACUUCCAGGAACAACAAUGCUACAAUCUCUCCAAUAGCCCUGAAACCCACCAAAUAUAUAUAUAUAUAUUAUAAAGCCAAACCAAUGCAUAAUUUUUAGGCAUAAUGUUAGCACAGGUGAGAGUGAGAGACUGACCUCAGAAUUUUCAACGUACUCUUUCAGCAGUGAAAGCACCAAAUCAUAGUUGCCAGCCAAUUUCAAGCAAUCCGCACAACGAAGGCCUAAGUGCGGGAGUUGAUGCUCGUUUAAAUUUAAUACAUCUGAUAAUGUCUCCAACGAAACACAACCGUCUAAAAAAAUCCCAUGUAUACUGGCUGGAAGUCGAGGCAGAUUUUGAAGCAUUUUGCAAUCCUUUAAAAAAAUUUUCGAAAGUUUAGAAAGACGGUAAAUGCUUGCCGGCAGCGUAAAAAAAUUGUUUCCACUCAGAUGCAACUCUUCUAAUGAGCAUAAGUUGCCAAUACCACUUGGGAUUGCUCCUUCCCCCAGAUCACAGUAACUGAUAUCCAAUUUCGUUAAACUACACAAACCUGACAGAGAAGACGGCAAACUCAAAGCCAUCGGAUCUGAACUCCAUCGCAUCAAAUUGAUAGGGAAGGGCAGAAACCAUGAUGCAGAUGAUGGUGAUCCUUUGCACCCACGAAAAGAUAGUUCUUUAAGAUUCUUCAUAAGAAAAAUCGACGAUGGAGGUUGCCUUAUAGCUGUACCACUUAUAUCAAAAUUCAAAGCUUCGAUUUGAUGGGGCAAUAAUGCAAUUUUGAUUCAUGGAAGGCUCUUAUUUAGUUCUGAUUCUGUCCAACUUUUUGACCCAAGCCAGGCAUUUUCUGGUAAUUUAACAGGGAAAUAAGUAGCAAGAACAGAUACAAUAAAUAAAUAAAAAGAAAGUAAAUGAAAUGCGAUCUGCAAAGAAAAUAAAAUUGAAAUUGAGAUGCGCACUUACACUGUUACACGUAGACUCAGAGAAAAUAAUAUUUGCUAGGCUUUGAAAUUGAGAUGCGCAACAGAUACAAUAAAUAAAUAAAAAGAAAGUAAAUGAAAUGCGAUCUGCAAAGAAAAUAAAAUUGAAAUUGAGAUGCGCACUUACACUGUUACACGUAGACUCAGAGAAAAUAAUAUUUGCUAGGCUGUGCCCUUCAUUCGAGUUGUCUAAAUCUUUUGCGUUGUGGUUCCUCAUCAUCAUUACAGCAGCCGCUUCCACUGGCUUCAGCCGCGCCAACAUAUCCUUCAAGACUUCGCUUUAGAAAGCUUCGCUCAGACGACGAUGUUGAUCCUGCAUCAUCCCGGCAUCAAUUUCCACUGGCUUAUGCGCUAUCAUAGUUGUCAGUCAGGUAAAAGCUUCGCUCAGACGACGUUGUUGAUCCUGCAUCAUCCUGGCAGUAAGUUCCACUGGCUUCUGCACUGUCAUAGUCGUCAGUCAGGUAGAAGCUUCGCUCAGACGACGUUGUUGAUCCUGCAUCAUCCUGGCAGUAAGUUCCACUGGCUUCUGCACUGUCAUAGUCGUCAGUCAGGUAGAAGCUUCGCUCAGACGACGUUGUUGAUCCUGCAUCAUCCUGGCAGUAACUUCCUCUGGCUUCUGCCCUGUCUAAGUCAUCAUUACGGCUACGCGUAAAGGAUGUUGAUCCUGAACAAUCGUGACCAAAUUCGUUCAACUUCCAAACUGGAUCAGUUGUUUGGUUGAACUUAUCCCCUUGAUGCACAUAUAUUGGAUGGACACCACACCUCUUCAACUACAAUCCCGACGGCGAAUCAAAUGACACUUCAAAAGAUGCACCUAAAUCUUCCAUAUUCUCGUAGUGUAGCAAAAGAUGGUCUGACACAGCCUGACCGAAGUGCUUUCUAAACACAAUGGCAGUAUAAUUCCAGUCGGCAGCCCAGAUAGACAGCUCAUGUACGGGAUAUGGAAAAUGCCGAUCAUAAUAUGGAAGUGAAUAUUUAGGGAUAUGAAAAACACAACACACAGCAUAUCCCACAAGCUUACUAUUCUUAUACGUCUUUGGAGGCGUGCUUAUUGUUAUUGAAGAACCCUCAUUAUUCUGAUACUCGAACCACUCUGGGAUUUCACUUCCAAACCAAUUGUUGAGAUUUCCAAGCUUAUAGAACCAACUUGAACAACCUCUCCCAAGAUCCCCAGAUCAGAAUUCCAAGAUGAACCAAAGAAGAUUCGAAAGUUACAAUGAUAGAAGACAAC
rnacentral:lncRNA from 1 species